AUCAUUUAAAAUUUAAUUUCAAGGAAAAUUGAUGAGCUGUUAUCAUAAAAGUCAAGUCCGAAUUGACUACACUGAAGCAUUUAUCACUUCUCCAGUAUUUUCAGUUUCCCCCAACUUUAGAACUUGUGAAUUUGUGAUAUAUAAACAUUAAUCUCUGAUAUAUUCACUGGUGAACAUGAUAUUGUAAGUAAAUUUAAGUAUUUCCAUUUCUUGCUCUAUCUCCAUCUCACUGUAUUGUGUUGAAGUGUGUGUCUAUACAUCUUCCAUCUCCAUUGAACCCUAGACCUACUUGAGCGAUGAUCAGCUUAUGGAAAGCCCUCAACUUCAACAGCUUCUACUAAUUGGGAACUUGUAGAAGAUAUGGAGAAGAGGGUUCUACUGGUAUGUAUCGGAGUAUGUUUUCUGGGGGUCACAGCUGCUGCACUAGGUUUCGGUGCAGAAUCUAAGAGGAUCAAGGUUGAUGUCUACUCUAGCUUCUAUUCAGUUACUUGCAGGAUCAAUUCUGAAUGACCGACACACUAUGGAUGAGAUGUACUCUGUUGACUUUUGUUAUGAAGUUCUUAGGCCUUGGAUAUUUGCAAAAGGCGCAAUAUUGGGUCUUAUAAGUGUUACCUUUGGGGUUCUAUAUUACCUCAACAUAUCUUUAAUCAAAGACAGGAACCAAAUGGGGACCCCUGUCAAUACUGAUAAUCAUGGAAAUAUCGCGAUGACCCAACCUCAAGUCCCAGCUCAAAUGAGUCUACAACCGGUAUUCGUCCCUGAAGAUACGUAUAAUCGGCGGCAACUCGUGUAACAAUACCUUUUUCGCGGCAUUCAGUAGUAAGUAAGUCAUUUUAAUUAUGUCUAUAUGUAUAUGAGAUCCACGACAUAUAGUUUAUAUACAUGGGUCUCUGCAACUCUAGUGGAGAAAAAUAACCACAAUAUCUUGAAGAAUGAAACAAGUUUAGAUUUGAACUCAAAUGCUGUGCUGGGGAUGAUACAAAUAGUACCCAAAAAAGUGGCACUGUCUUCUUCUUUUC